rnacentral:rRNA from 1 species
UGGGGAAUAUUGCGCUAAUGCGCGAAAGCGUGACGCAGCGACGCCGCGUGGGGGAUGAAGGCCCUCGGGUCGUAAACCCCUUUCGGCAGGGACGAAGCGAGAGUGACGGUACCUGCAGAAGAAGUCCCGGCUAACUACGUGCCAGCAGCCGCGGUAACACGUAGGGGACGAGCGUUGUCCGGAUUCAUUGGGCGUAAAGCGCGCGUAGGCGGCCCGGAAAGUCGGUUGUGAAAUCCCUCAGCUCAACUGAGGAAUUGCCUUUGAUACUGCUUAACUUGAGGACAGGAGAGGAAAGUGGAAUUCCAGGUGUAGCGGUGGAAUGCGUAGAUAUCUGGAGGAACACCAGAGGCGAAGGCGGCUUUCUGGACUGGUCCUAACGCUGAGAUUCGAAAGCCAGGGGAGCAAACAGGAUUAGAUACCCUGGUAGUCCUGGCCGUAAACGAUGGAUACUAGAUCUUGCAUAAUUAUGCUUGGUCGCAGCUAACGCGUUAAGUAUCCCGCCUGGGGAGUACGGUCGCAAGGUUA